GGUUUCUAUGAAACAAUUCAAACAAUUAAAUUAACAUAGUUUGAGACUGCAAGAAAACAGUGGGAAACAGAAAUUUCUUCUUAGUAUUUUAAUUGCAAUAUGUCUUGCAAGAGUUGAAUUUCGCAAGAAUAUAUUACAUUUAAACUAAGAUUUUCGGCAGAAUGAAGCUUUUGCAGAAUAUUUUUGUUGGCAUUUCUGGUUUAGCUAAUUUUUUUUCUCUUUUACAUUCAAAUAAUAAUUUGAAUACAUUUAAAAUAUAAUUCGAAUAAAGGAGAUAGGAGAAACAAAAAUCUACAUGUUGUAAAUAGUAUAUGGCAGUAAAAAUCAUACUUUUCGAUAGGUAAGCUUGUAGAGUCAGUUGAAAGUUGGUUCUCGAGCUCUGAAAUUUUCUUCUUCAACCUGAUAUUUUCUCUCAUCAACAUACUAUUGCAAGGAUAAAAGAAUCUAAAAUUAGUAACAGUUAAAGCUGCAGACUCUUUCUUAUAUGCGCAACUUCAAUUCUUAAUUUAAUCUUAAAUUAGUUGGCUUAUACAGCAAUUUCAGUACAUAUUAAAAAAGAAAUGAACAUACCUUUCUAAACUAUUUGACGUAGACGAUGUUUCAACCUGAAACAAACAAUAUCAAAACCUGAUUAUAGACCCGACAAUAAAAGAAAGACUUACAUCGUUUUUUCCAAUGACUUUUAAUUUGCAAUGAAGCGCCUCAACAUUUUUACUCCGUACCCUGAUGUCACUGUCAACAUCACUAUAAAAUUUGACAAAAAACCUAGCUGAAAAUUUCCUUAUUUUUGUUAUAAAAAAUUAUAAUAAGUAACAAUGUGUUUAGAAAAAUGUGCACCAUACUUACUUUCCAAUUGUUACCAUUUCUUUUUCCAAGAUAAUAGGAUAGGCCAUGCCAUCAGUUCCAUUCCUUGUAAUAACUGUUAUGGUACCUACCAAUACAAAUGAUUCUUGAAGAUUUCGCUAUAUAAAAAAUGUAUACACAUAUAUUUACCAUUGUCAAAAACAAGAAAAAUUCAAACACUUUGUGCCAACUGUAUUAAAAAAGACACCCACACAGCUACUUAUAGUUCUAAAAAUAUGUUAAAAAGGUGAGUAUGGAUUGUGUGAUUCUAUAAUAUGUGGAAUAUGAUAUUUCUGUAUAUAAUUCAGUUUAUAUUAAAUAUAUUAAUAGUAUUAAUUAUAUUAGCCAGUUUAUAUUAUAUUAAAAAUUGCCUUCCAUAAAGAAUAAUUUUCACAAAUUAGUCAUUUUAAAAAAUUUCAAAUAUUUAUUUUUGGAAUAAAUGUUUGAAACGAAUAAUUUCAACUUGCUUUGCAGUGAAUUAGUUUGCAGUUUUAGUUUAGGUCCUUAUAAAUUAUUUGGGAUUACAAUUAAAGCUGCUUAAAAGAUUCAGAAAUCCUUUUGUUUUGUCGAUACAAAACUUCCUAGAAAUAAAAAUAUACUGCUAAAAAUAAGAAAAAGGUAUAUAAUAGUAUAUAUAUAAUAGGUAUAUACACACAAAAGACUGUUUUUUACCUUACUAUUACCAAAACUCAUGAUAAAAUAUGCUUCCUACUUUUCUUGUGACCUGCUUUGACAAUUCCAACUUGAAAAAUGAUUUUUUUAUUCCGACAAUGUAAAAUAUAUAUGAAAUGCUUGAGCAUAGCACAACUGCAGUGUGAUAUAAAAGAAAGCUUAAUUGUUUACUUAACUAAGUUAUCAUAAUAAAAACUGGUGAUAUAAGUUUUAUGAAAGCAUGGCUACAACAGGCAACACACUUUUUUAACAAUAAUUUAUAACAGCUUUUGUUAUGAUUUGAUAUUAUUUUGAUAAGGAAUAAUAUAUCUAUAAACAACACUGGUUGUUUAAAACAAAUGUGUGGGGUCUCCAGAAAAACAACUUCAAGCAUGGUCAAUAUUUUUAAUAAACAAGAGAAAAAUAAACAAAAUGUUUUAAAAACAAAUAGGUGUGAGUCUCUAGAAAAACAACUUCAAGCAUGGCUAUUGUCUUUAAAAAAACAAGAAAAACAUAAGUAAGAAUAAAUUUAGUGAAAAUAAAAUGAGCUUUUAAACAAACGCUCAGAGGUCAUAUCAAAAUACCAACAUGAGAAUAAGGACUAUAUAAAAACACACUACAGCAAUAUACUUAACUACACAAAAAGACUACCAAGAAACAUAAUGCUAUUGUUAAAUGACCAUAGCUAUAGCUCUUUAAUUCUACUAAUGUUAUUUCAUUGAACAAACCUAAAAAGUUCAGAUUGCUAUUUGGGGUGUUACUAGCUACAAAACGUUAGCUAGCUAUGCACUUUGGUUGCCCACAAAAAAUAUAUUUACAUAAGCAUUUACAACAUUUAAAACUGUUAAAGGACAAAAUAAAACUUACCAAAGAAAAAAAGCUUUUCUGUUUCUUAUAUCUGAUUGAUAUGAUUAAAAAACAACAACAACAAUCCUUAACUGAGAGUAUCUUUCACGCCGCAAGCCGCCCUUAUGAUUUAUUUUUAAUAUUUGCACAUGCGCGUUGACGUAGAAAACGUAACCGCCAUGUCGUGGGUAACCGACGUAACCUAAGCGUAA